AGAGUUUGAUCCUGGCUCAGAAUCAACGCUGGCGGCGUGCCUAACACAUGCAAGUCGAACGCGAAAGUCCCGCAAGGGAUAAGUAGAGUGGCAAACGGGUGAGUAACACGUGGGUGACCUGCCUUCGAGCGGGGGAUAACGUCCCGAAAGGGACGCUAAUACCGCAUAACAUCCUGCCUUUGAAGAGGUGGAGAUCAAAGCCGGGGACCGUAAGGCCUGGCACUUGAAGAGGGGCCCGCGUCUGAUUAGCUAGUUGGUGAGGUAAUGGCUCACCAAGGCAACGAUCAGUAUCCGGCCUGAGAGGGCGGACGGACACACUGGGACUGAGACACGGCCCAGACUCCUACGGGAGGCAGCAGUGGGGAAUUGUUCGCAAUGGGCGCAAGCCUGACGACGCAACGCCGCGUGGAGGAUGAAGACCUUCGGGUCGUAAA
rnacentral:rRNA from 1 species